rnacentral:rRNA from 1 species
ACAGCAGUCGCCACGGUAAUACGUAGGUGGCAAGCGUUGUCCGGAAUUAUUGGGCGUAAAGGGCUCGCAGGCGGUUUCUUAAGUCUGAUGUGAAAGCCCCCGGCUCAACCGGGGAGGGUCAUUGGAAACUGGGAAACUUGAGUGCAGAAGAGGAGAGUGGAAUUCCACGUGUAGCGGUGAAAUGCGUAGAGAUGUGGAGGAACACCAGUGGCGAAGGCGACUCUCUGGUCUGUAACUGACGCUGAGGAGCGAAAGCGUGGGGAGCAAACAGGAUUAGAUACCCCGGUAGUCCCUGUCUCUUAUAC